rnacentral:rRNA from 1 species
CAGCCCGCCGCGGUAAUACCGGCAGCUCGAGUGGUGGCCGCUUUUAUUGGGCUUAAAGCGUUCGUAGCUGGGUUGUUAAGUCUCUUGGGAAAUCUGGCGGCUUAACCGUCAGGCGUCUAAGGGAUACUGGCAAUCUUGGAACCGGGAGAGGUGAGGGGUACUUCGGGGGUAGGAGUGAAAUCCUGUAAUCCUCGAGGGACCACCUGUGGCGAAGGCGCCUCACCAGAACGGCUUCGACAGUGAGGGACGAAAGCUGGGGGAGCAAACCGGAUUAGAUACCCGGGUAGUCCCAGCCGUAAACUAUGCGCGUUAGGUGUAUCGGUGACCACGAGUUACCGAGGUGCCGAAGGGAAACCGUGAAACGUGCCGCCUGGGAAGUACGGUCACAAGGCUGAAACUUAAAGGAAUUGGCGGG